UCCGAGUUGACCCCGGCAGUCUCCUAUGAGUCCCCGCCAUCACGCGCUGGCAACAUAGAACGAGGGUUGCGCUCGUUGCGGGACUUAACCCAACAUCUCACGACACGAGCUGACGACAACCAUGCACCACCUGUACACUGCCCUUACGGACCCCCCAUCUCUGGGAGUUUUCAGCGUAUGUCAAGCCUUGGUAAGGUUCUUCGCGUUGCGUCGAAUUAAGCCGCAUGCUCCGCCGCUUGUGCGGGCCCCCGUCAAUUCCUUUGAGUUUUAGCCUUGCGGCCGUACUCCCCAGGCGGGGCGCUUAAUGCGUUAGCUGCGGCACGGAGAUCGUGGAAAGACCCCCACACCUAGCGCCCAACGUUUACGGCGUGGACUAC
rnacentral:misc_RNA from 1 species